AUCUCUCUCUCUCGAAAAAAAAAAAAAAAGAAACUUAAAAACAACCAACAAAAGACAGUCAUUACCAAUGCUAAUCACCAUGAGUUUCUAUUUUUCACAUUUUAGAAAAAAUUUAUGCUUAAUCCCGCAGGUAUUGAGAAAUGGAUCCUGUCUAGGCAAUUGUGGUGGAGCCUCACCACUGUAGAAACCAUAGGAUUUUUCCAGGUAUCCAGUCAAGUAAUGUUAGUCUCUCCUGACAACAGUGUUGACCUUGAAUUAGUGCAAGUGUGCCAGUGGAGUUGAGGUGUUGCCUAACAAUGGAAGGGAACAAGUUCAGGUGCAGGAGUCUUGAGAGACCACCUUGUAUCUGAAACACAUUUCAGUUUGUUUCCUCAGGUUGCUGUGAAGGAAACAGAGUGAACGGAAAAUGGUUCACACACCCUUGCUGCUAAGCAGGUAAGUGUUAAAGUGAGUCCUUCUAUAAUGAAGUCCUCUGAACUUCAUUAUCUACGUAGGUGAGGAUGAUGUCCCUAACGUUGGUGGUAAUGUGUUUCUUUGUUGAAAAUUCUGUGAGUAUCAGGUUAAGAUCUUUGCUAGUAUGCAGGUAUGAGAUGAUGAGAUAUUAACUGAUUAAAGACCUUUGUUUUAUGGUGUUAUUUUUAAGUAAUUUCUACCCCCAACAGGGGACUCGAACUCACAACUCCAAGAUCCACAGUCACGCGCUCCACAGACUGAGCCAGGUAUGUACUCCUAAAGACAUUUCUAGAUUGAGACAACUAUAGACUUGUGAUUUCAAGUCCCUUACGUGUACUUUGUUUUUGGCAUGUAUUCAUUUGAGUUUAAUUGGUCCCUAACGAUACUGGGAGCAAAAGGAUUUUUUUUUUUUGUAUUUCUGUUUAAAAAUAUGUACCUAACGUACAAGUGAUACAAGGAUUUGCAGAUAUCCAGGAAAUUUAUCAUUACGUCCUUCCGUACUUUAUUGACCAUGGAAUUAUUGCAAUACACCUUGAAGAGAGGAAGAUUUGUCUUCCUAGGGAUUGACCUUGAAGUUUCGCAAGGAUCCAAGGUCCUGAAAUGAUAUAGUGACCAACGGAAUUGGCAGGUGUAGAGGUACAGUGAGACACGCCCAAAAUAUUUUUAGCAAUGUUUGUUUUUUUUUUUCUUUCCAGACUCCUAUCAAUGAAUCACCCUGAGCCCAGCAAUGGUGGCUAAAAUGAGACAUUGCUGAUGUCACAGUAAGUGAUGACAUGGUCCUAAGCCAUGGCACCGACCAUCUGGUCUUCAGAAAGCUAGGUGAGAGCUGAUGGUGUCCCUAACACUAGUUGUUACCAUGAAUUCUCUGCAGGGAUUCAGGUAGGAAAUGACAGAUUCCUUACUAAUCCUUGAAACCAUGAGUUUUAGUGUUUAGAGAAAAUUCUUUAACUCUAUUGAGGGAUUGCGCAUAUCAGAUGUUUGUCAUGAUGUCUCAACCACACUAGUGAUGGUGGAAAUUUUGCAGGUGCUCCGUAAAAGUUGUAUUAACUGACAAUGGUCUUGACCUUGGAGUCCUGCAGCUAUUCGAGCAGAGGUAAUGCUUUCAUAAUGAUGGAAAUGACCCAGUUUAUUCAUAGGUGCCCUGGUAGAACAAGCCGUGUCCUUUUACACAUGUAUCAUAGUGUGUUUUUUCCCAGAUUUCCUGUCAGGAGAUUAUGAUGAACCUCACAUUGGUGAUUCUCUGGGACAUUUCUGUUCCCCAGAUAAGUGGUGAUGUUCACCUUCACUGUUUGAAACUAUCUGAUCUUCUCACAUCUAGAUCAGUGUUACUGUUGGACUGAACUUAUUUCCCGUGUGUGUUUUUUUUCCCCUAGGUCCUUAGGUAAGAAAUGACAGCGUUUUACCAAUUACAGGAAUCAUGCUGUUCUACUGUUGUCUAUUUCUGGGGAAAUGGAUAUUUACGUAUGUGUUGGGUGAAUUCUGACGUGAAUAGCUAUAAUGGUGGAGUCGUGUGGUACAGGAAUACCCUUGGUGUUACUGAAGGUGAGCAGGGAAGAGGUGAAGGUGUGGCUAUCUUUGGCAUAGACCUUGAAGGACUGCAACAGUCCGGGAAGAGCUGAAGGGUCCUGCAGUGAUGGCAAUGAACAAGAUCAUAUGCAGUGUCCUAGUAGGAGAGGAGUGUCCAUGGAUGCAUUGUUCACAAAGUGUUUUUUAAAUUACCCUCAAGAGGUCAUGGUAAAUUUCAAAAUGGUCGUUGAUGGGAUUUUAUUUCUAUUCAGGUACAUGAUGAUAUGGGCCUUAAGCACCCUGUACAUUGAUUUUCAGGUAUUUAGUAAGGGUAGAUGGUGUUCCUAACUGUUCUGUUACCAUGGGUCUAUGCAGGUGUUCUGUUAAGACAUGAUACUGUCCCAACCAGUGCUGGUAAGUAUGAGCCCUUAUUUUUUUAUGUUUUUCAAUUUAGAUAUAAUGUGUGUUUAAACUCAGUAGUGAUAAAGGAAUAUGAAUUUCCAGGGAACUUCUCUGUUGCACAUCAAGUACUGACCAUGAGAUUUAUACCAGUACUCUUAGAAGAGAUCUUAGUGUGUCUAACAAUGGCAUUGACCUUCAGGUUCAGGCAAAAUCCAUCUUGUGUCAUGUUUUCCCUAAUGACAGAAGUGACCCAGAAUAUUCACAGAUACACUCUUUGUUUUUGCAGGUAAACAAGUUGUAUCCUGCCAUGGGCUUGUUGAGUAUGUUUCUCAAGAUUCUAGCAGUCCUGACAUCACAGAGACCCAGACCGUGCUUGUCAGUGGGAACUUGCUGGUAACCAGGUAUGUGAUAAAGUGGGUCUUAUCACAUUACAUGUAUCUGAUCCUCAGCUCUCGAGGUGAGUGAGGCUAGUGUCUCUAGCCCAGUGUACCGUGCUUUUUUGAAAGUUUCCUAUUGACUUCUUUGCUAGUUUAGCGAUAGGAGAUGCUGUGGUAUUAACUCAUUAGGUACAUUGACUUGAGAACAAGUUUGUUUGACCCUAUGAGCGUUGAGGGAUAACACAUAUGCAACUAUUUACGACCGUGUCUUCCCCACAGUCCUCCCCAUGGGCUUUCUGCUGGUGUCCAGUGAAGUGACGCUGAGUUUGUCUGACAUCAGUGUUGAUCCUUGAUUACUGAAAGUACCAGGUGGAGUUUGUGUGCCUAUCAUGACGGAGUACCCAGGCUAUUUCCAGAUACUGGCUAUCACAAGUUGUUUCCUUUCACGUAGAUUUCAUAAUGUCUUGACAGAAACCUGAAAAGACAUCACUGUACGCCUGACAUGGAAGGAGAUGGCAGACGUGGCUGGUAUGUCCGCCGGUAGGUGAGGAUGUGGGCCUCAACCCCGGCACAGGCCGUCUGAUCUCCAGAUAGCUAGCAAUAACCAUGAAAAGGUUGCAGGUGUCCUGUGAAGACAUAUUAUCCUAACUGGUGAUGAUUUUGACCUUGGAGGACUGCAAGCAUUCAGGUAGAGCUGAUAUGUCUCAUGAGGAUAAAGUGACCAAGGUUAUUGCAGGUGUCCUGUUAGAACAAGUUGUGUCCCGUUACACAUGUGUUGUAUUGUGUUUUUUAGGUGCCCAUCAACGAGUUCAAUGCACCUGACAAGGGUCAUCAAGGCGGGGACAUUUCUGGCCUUCAGGUAUAUGAUGAGGUGUACCUUCACUGUAUCAGACCCUCUGAUCUUCAGGAAUCUAUUUGUGCUAAGUUUUGUUAAUUGCUUGAACUUGUUUACCAUGUGGGUUAUGUGAAGCAUUCUGGGAGAAAUGAUAGUAUUGUUACCAAGUCUAGCAAACAUAUUAUCCCACCAUUUGAUGCUUUAGAGGAAAUUGACAUUUAACCAUGUGAAUAUUUAGUGAUUCAUGGCUAUUCACGUAACAAUCAUGGAGUUGCGGGUCACAGGCGUUACCAUGGUAUUUUGGUAGGUGAGCGAUGAAGGCAUAAUGGCGUCUGACAGUGGCCUAGACCUUGGCGUACUGCAAGACCCCAGGUGGGUUUGAUGGGUCCUACAGUGAUGGAAGCAUACACAGAUACUUCCCAUGUCCUGGUAGAGGGGGUCAUUCAUGGACCCGUUAUCAUAUGUGGUUUUCACUUGAUCUUAGCCAAGACUCUGAGGACUGAUAUCACAAUGUGUUUUUCCCGGUCCUGUCCAGAAAUCACAGUGAGCCUCAUAAUGACCAGACCUAGGACUGUGCCUUUCCAGGUGAGUGAUCACGCGGGCCUUCACCCUGGAAACAACCUAGCCAUCUGAUAAGUGGAUAAGUGUGGAUGGAUUUCCCAAGUUGUUGUUAGUAUGCUUUUGUCUUUGUUUUCUUUUUGACAGGUAUUCGGGUAAGGAAUGACACGCUCCCCACAAAUGGUAGGAUGCAUGCUAGUGAGUAUUUUAAAGUUUAGAUAGAAUGUGUGUUUAGCCCUAGUGGUGACAGAGGGAUACACAGGUGUGCAAGUCCCUUAUCCUACGGGGCCACAGCACAGUCAUGAGCCUGAAAUUUUAUAGGUACUCAGGAGAUGAUGGUUUCUCUAACAAUGGAGUUGACCUUGAAGUUCUAGUUCCUCCAAGAUCCAAAGUGUUGAUGAUUCCUCUAAUGAUGGAAAUAUCUUGCAUGUCAGUUGUGUUUUUUCAGGUCAUGGUAGUUAGUCAUGUUACAGUGACCCUGGUUAUGCUCUUUCAUGGGACCCUGCUAGUCACCUGGUAAGUGGUAUUGUGGAUGUGACAGUGUAGUUGAGAUCACCUAUUCUUGAGAAUUCUAAGUAAGUGAGGAUGGUGUCCCAAACACUCAUCACAGUGUUAACAUGUUUUUUUCCUGCAGAAAUCAUGUUAAAGUCUUUGUGUUGCACAGAUAUGUCACAUUAACUCAUUAGACCUCCCUAUUUUCAGAUGUGUUUGUAAUUAAUGAUGUUUUGAAUGCUCUUACAUUACACAUGCUUUUGGCUUAUAUGCAGUAGUUUAAUUUGUAAACACCGUAUUCUUGCAGGAGUCCUGAUAAAACAUGAUGGUCUCUCUGAUAAAAGUGUCGACCCAAAUUAAAGGAAUCCUCAAAGUAGAGUUGAUUUGUUCCAUAAUAAUAGAAGUAAAAAGGAUUAUUAGCAGGUGUUCUGGUAGAACAGUUUGUACUUCAACAGACGUUUUCAGUGUGUUUGUUCAGGUUCUUGUCGAGAAAACCCAGUGAACCUCACCAUAUUCACUGAUGGAACCUUGCUCUUAACCUGGUAAAUGAUAAAGCGGGUUCCACCACAUUCCAGACCACAUGAUCUUCCAUAGGAAGGUGGGUGAGGUUGAUGUCCCUGACAUUUGUGGUACCAUGUUUGUUUGCAGGUAUCCCAUUAAGGCCUUCGCUACUAUGCAGGUAUGAGAUGAUUUGACAUUGACUUAGACAUUAUUUUCAGAGCGCUGUGUGACUAACGAUAUUAUUCAGGCUCUUACAUAACUUAGUGUUAGACAUGUAGGCAGUUAAGACAUUCAGUUGUCGCUAACAAUCAUAGUAUGCGUGAGAAUUUCUUGUUUAGAGAGAAUGUGUUUUGGACUGAUAGGGGGACUUUCAGACACCCAGGGAAUUCAUCAUACUGUUCAUUGUUAUGUUACUAACAGUGGGAAUUUUCCAGGUAUUCUUCAAGAGAAGGAGGUGGCUCCUACUGCGGGCUGACCUCAGAGUUUUGCAAGUAUUCAGAUUCAUGUCAAGACCUCACCGUGAGCUUACCAAUGAUAACAUGGGACAUUGCUGUUACAAGGUAAGUGUUGUGGGCCUAAACCAUAGCACAGAUCAUCUGAUCUUCACAUACAGAGGUAAGAGGUGAUAAGUAUCUCUAAUGCUUCUUGUUAACACGCUUCUUACAAGGAUUCAAUUAAUGAAGGACAGAUUCCAACCAAUUCUGGGAACCAUUGUUUCUCAUACUUUAUAUUGAAGCGAAAAAUUAUGUUUACCUCUGUGAGUGUUGAGGGAUUGUGUGUAUCCAAAUAAUUGUCGUGAUGUUCUGUCCCAAUAAGUAACCAUGGGAUUGUUAUAAGGGUCCCGUUAUUAAAUGAUGGUGUUCUGUGAAAGUGGUGUUGACCUUGAAUUAAUCCAAGGAUCCAGGUAGAUUUAGAGAGCUUCAGCUUAAAAAAAAACAAAGCUCUAUCCCUUAAUACAUACUUCAAAAAAUGUUUUUAGGUUCUUGUCAAGAUACCAUGAUGAACCA